rnacentral:rRNA from 1 species
UGUAGUCAUAUGCUUGUCUCAAAGAUUAAGCCAUGCAUGUCUAAGUAUAAGCAACUUGUACUGUGAAACUGCGAAUGGCUCAUUAAAUCAGUUAUCGUUUAUUUGAUAGUACCUUACUACAUGGAUACCUGUGGUAAUUCUAGAGCUAAUACAUGCUAAAAACCCCGACUUCAGGAAGGGGUGUAUUUAUUAGAUAAAAAACCAACGCCCUUCGGGGCUCCUUGGUGAAUCAUAAUAACUUAACGAAUCGCAUGGCCUUGCGCCGGCGAUGGUUCAUUCAAACUUCUGCCCUAUCAACUUUCGAUGGUAGGAUAGUGGCCUACCAUGGUGGCAACGGGUAACGGGGAAUA